CUUAUUACAGCAUACUUUACUACCAGGACCCAGCCUUAGUACAGCAUACUUUACUACCAGGACCCAGCCUUAGUACAGCAUACUUUACUACCAGGACCCAGCCUUAUUACAGCAUACUUUACUACCAGGACCCAGCCUUAUUACAGCAUACUUUACUACCAGGACCCAGCCUUAUUACAGCAUACUUUACUACCAGGACCCAGCCUUAGUACAGCAUACUUUACUACCAGGACCCAGCCUUAGUACAGCAUACUUUACUACCAGGACCCAGCCUUAUUACAGCAUACUUUACUACCAGGACCCAGCCUUAUUACAGCAUACUUUACUACCAUCAACCACCACAUUGCCUUAUUACAGCACUAGAGUGCCAGUAUGGAGAGGUGUGGGGCCACUUGGAGACAGCAGUUAGUCCUCUCACUAACCCCCAGUCUAGAGAGGUGUGGGGCCACUUGGAGACAGCAGUUAGUCCUCUCACUAACCCCCAGUCUGGAGAGGUGUGGGGCCACUUGGAGACAGCAGUUAGUCCUCUCACUAACCCCCAGUCUGGAGAGGUGUGGGGCCACUUGGAGACAGCAGUUAGUCCUCUCACUAACCCCCAGUCUGGAGAGGUGUGGGGCCACUUGGAGACAGCAGUAAGUCCUCUCACUAACCCCCAGUCUGGAGAGGUGUGGGGCCACUUGGAGACAGCAGUAAGUCCUCUCACUAACCCCCAGUCUAGAGAGGUGUGUGGCCACUUGGAGACACUAGUAAGUCCUCUCAUUCAACCCCCAGUCUGGAGAGGUGUGGGGCCACUUGGAGACAGCAGUAAGUCCUCUCACUAACCCCCAGUCUAGAGAGGUGUGUGGCCACUUGGAGACACUAGUAAGUCCUCUCAUUCAACCCCCAGUCUGGAGAGGUUAGUCCUCUCACUAACCCCCAGUCUGGAGAGGUGUGUGGCCACUUGGAGACACUAGUAAGUCCUCUCAUUCAACCCCCAGUCUGGAGAGGUGUGUGGCCACUUGGAGACACUAGUAAGUCCUCUCACUAACCCCCAGUCUGGAGAGGUGUGUGGCCACUUGGAGACACUAGUAAGUCCUCUCAUUCAACCCCCAGUCUGGAGAGGUGUGUGGCCACUUGGAGACACUAGUAAGUCCUCUCACUAACCCCCAGUCUGGAGAGGUGUGUGGCCACUUGGAGACACUAGUAAGUCCUCUCAUUCAACCCCCAGUCUGGAGAGGUGUGGGGCCACUUGGAGACACUAGUAAGUCCUCUCAUUCAACCCCCAGUCUGGAGAGGUGUGUGGCCACUUGGAGACACUAGUAAGUCCUCUCACUAACCCCCAGUCUGGAGAGGUGUGUGGCCACUUGGAGACACUAGUAAGUCCUCUCAUUCAACCCCCAGUCUGGAGAGGUGUGGGGCCACUUGGAGACACUAGUAAGUCCUCUCACUAACCCCCAGUCUGGAGAGGUGUGUGGCCACUUGGAGACACUAGUAAGUCCUCUCAUUCAACCCCCAGUCUGGAGAGGUGUGGGGCCACUUGGAGACACUAGUAAGUCCUCUCACUAACCCCCAGUCUGGAGAGGUGUGGGGCCACUUGGAGACACUAGUAUGUCCUCUCACUAAUCCCCAGUCUGGAGAGGUGUGUGGCCACUUGGAGACACUAGUAAGUCCUCUCACUAACCCCCAGUAUGGAGAGGUGUGUGGCCACUUGGAGACACUAGUAAGUCCUCUCAUUCAACCCCCAGUAUGGAGAGGUGUGUGGCCACUUGGAGACACUAGUAAGUCCUCUCACUAACCCCCAGUCUGGAGAGGUUAGUCCUCUCACUAACCCCCAGUCUGGAGAGGUGUGUGGCCACUUGGAGACACUAGUAAGUCCUCUCACUAACCCCCAGUAUGGAGAGGUGUGUGGCCACUUGGAGACACUAGUAAGUCCUCUCACUAACCCCCAGUCUGGAGAGGUUAGUCCUCUCACUAACCCCCAGUCUGGAGAGGUGUGGGGCCACUUGGAGACACUAGUAAGUCCUCUCACUAACCCCCAGUCUGGAGAGGUUAGUCCUCUCACUAACCCCCAGUCUGGAGAGGUGUGUGGCCACUUGGAGACACUAGUAAGUCCUCUCACUAACCCCCAGUCUGGAGAGGUUAGUCCUCUCACUAACCCCCAGUCUGGAGAGGUGUGGGGCCACUUGGAGACACUAGUAAGUCCUCUCACUAACCCCCAGUAUGGAGAGGUGUGUACCCACUUGGAGACACUAGAAAGUCCUCUCACUAACCCCCAGUCU